AUCACCCCCGCAGCUGCCUCCUCUCCUGCCACCGCGCCGCCCCGGCCUCGUCUCCUCUGCGCCGCCUCCCCCUCUCCGCCACUGCAUGGCCGCCGUCGCUUCCGCCGCUCGUCUCUUUCUUCACGCAGCACCUGCAGGACGAUGCAUCCCCAUCCUCCAUCAGCCGCUGUGGUGCGCCAUGGUUCUUGACCGGCCGCAGAUCCAGGAGAAGAGGAGGACGGCGGUGGGGGGAAGGAAGAGCGCGGCCUGGACUCGGCAGGAGGAGAGGAGCAGCAGCAGAUCGGGCUCAGGUUAGGCGAGGCUGGUGGUGCUCAGGCUUCAAGGCGUGCAUUACGUGGACAUGGAGCGAGCGUGGGACAAGGGCGUGGGACAAGGUGACGGUGACCGGCACGGCGAGCCAGAAGAAGGUGUUGCGCGCGGCGCGGCGCACGAGGAAGCUUGCCCACACCCCUCCUCCGCUCGCUCUCGUCUCCGUCAGGCUGUUGAGCUCCUGCUUCCUCCUUGAUCUUCCCAUUGAUUUAGUACUACUACUGUACUGUGUGCUUGUGUUGUUUGUUUGAGGGGUACGGCUACUACUUGUGCUGCUGCUAGAUGUGUGAUGUUGGUUGUAUAUGUGUUUAAUGUUGUUGGGUGCUGCUGGUUCAACUACUACCUGUGCUGGUUGAUUUAAUAUCCGUUUAUUUGUGAAACUGAAAACUCCUGUGAGAGGCAAGGAUUGACAAGAAGGGUCUGAGCCAAUGAGAAGUUUUAUUUUCAGUUUUCAUAUUUAAGAAGUAAUGGAGGAUAUGUCAUAUGUUUUGUUGCUAACAUUUACCUAUGGUGUAUGUAGCUGAUGUUCACUCCAUUGGAGCUGAGUCUCCUUGCCGGCGACCUUGCCAUCACCAGCCUAUCUGCAGGGAUGGACAUAUGGAUUGAAUGGUACCCUCCUGAAAUCUACACAGGUGUCAGAUUUAAGAAAGAAGAAAUAGGGCCAAGAAUAUUAGAUCGGAGAACGAAGAGAUGAAGAACAAUGUUAGCUGAAGAGUUGAAGAAGACCAAGGUGAAUUUUAACCGUCUUGCAAACCCAAUCAAGUUUGCACUUCAAUUUGAUAAUAUGAUUUGUGUUGAUGUAAGCACGAGUCCCUCUGAAGGGCUCGACCACCGUCCGGUUCCAGUGGAGGACAACAUCACUUAGCUGUGGCCAUCCUGGGCGCCGCGAGAAUUAGCUGAAAAAUCUUGCUGAGAUCCAGGUCACUGGCCAUCCCCAUUCAGGUGGCUCUGAAACUUGUUCCUAAUGAAGAUAAAUUUAUGGAAGUGGUUAGGGAAACAGGAGGAGCAAUUUUAGCAUGGCAGGUGCUUCUCAGGUUCGAUGGCUUCCGGCAACAUCAAGGUCAUAGUGCUUUCCUCGUGGGUUCAGCCUUUGACAUUAAGUGAUCAUCCGCAAGACCGAAUUUUGCCAUUGUUGAUGGUGCACAGUUCUGUUGCAUGGUGGAAAUUAGCAAGCAAGCUACAGUCGGUCCAUGGAUGACCAAGUUUACUGAUUACUUUAUGAAGACGAUGAUUCCUAAAUAGAAUUACGAGCUAGGUCCUGCAUGUUGAUCGUGCUUCAAGGUAUAGUUGUGACAUAGGUAAAUGCUCAACUUUGGCUUAUAAACUGGAUUCAAAUGCUAAUUCUGAUAGGGCUUUUGCCACUUAUUGUUUUAUGGUUGCCUAGACAGCUGAUGUCAUGCUUCUUUCUUACUAAUUGUCAAUUCUUUUGUAUAGGGUCCUUAUGCUUUGCUGCUUUGCUACACAAUGAGAGUAUGUAGAUAGCAUGUAUGGUUUUUACAUUGUUUUGCGCAGGUUGAGAUGCAUCACAUGAUAUUUGCCUCUUACAUUUAUGGGUAUUACAGAGUGAUUUCUUUUUCCACAAGGGGCAGUAGUUGUGCCAUUCGAUUCGAAGGACAAAGAGUUGAUCACAAAGAGGUAGCAUUCAGGAUAUAUACACAAAAGAGUAUAGAACCAAAUUACAUGAUGUAAUUGAUCAUUAUUUCUAUUAACUUUUCCUGCACACAAUGUUCGUGAGUUCAUAUAUUAAGUACAUUUUAUUGUGUCA